rnacentral:rRNA from 1 species
AGUGAACGCUGGCGGCGUGCUUAACACAUGCAAGUCGAACGAGAACGGAUUAUAGCUUGCUAUAAUUGUCAGCUAAGUGGCGCACGGGUGAGUAAUGUAUAGGUAAUAUGCCUCUUACUAAGGGAUAACAAAUGGAAACGUUUGCUAAUACCUUAUACUCCUUAUUAACAGAAGUUAAUAAGGGAAAGAUUUAUUGGUAAGCGAUUAGCCUGUAUUGUAUCAGUUAGUUGGUGGGGUAAUGGCUUAUCAUGACUAUGACACAUAACUGGUUUGAGAGGAUGAUAAGUCACACUGGGACUGAUACACGGUCCAGACUCCUACGGGAGGCAGCAGUGGGGAAUAUUGCACAAUGGACGAAAGUCUGAUGCAGCAACGCCGCGUGGAGGAUGACACAUUUCGGUGCGUAAACUCCUUUUAUAUGAGAAGAUAAUGACGGUAUUAUAUGAAUAAGCACCGGCUAACUCCGUGCCAGCCGCCGCAGUAA